CCUACGGGCGGCUGCAGUGGGGAAUUUUGGACAAUGGGGGCAACCCUGAUCCAGCCAUUCCGCGUGAGUGAAGAAGGCCUUCGGGUUGUAAAGCUCUUUUGUCCGGAGCGAAACGGGCGGCCCUAAUACGGUCGUCUACUGACGGUACCGGAAGAAUAAGCACCGGCUAACUACGUGCCAGCAGCCGCGGUAAUACGUAGGGUGCGUACGUGGCUCGGAGUUACUGGGGGCGGAGUUGGAGGCCGCGGGUGAAAUCCCCGGGCUCAACCUGGGAAUGGCAUUUGGGACUGCAAGGCUGGAGUGUGGCAGAGGGGACUAGAAUUCCUGGUGUAGCAGUGAAAUGCGUAGAUAUCAGGAGGAAUACCGAUGGCGAAGGCAGGUCCCUGGGUUAACACUGACGCUCAUGCACGAAAGCGUGGGGAGCAAACAGGAUUAGAUACCCCUGUAGUC
rnacentral:rRNA from 1 species